rnacentral:rRNA from 1 species
CACGUAGGGCGCAAGCGUUGUCCGGAAUUAUUGGGCGUAAAGAGCUCGUAGGCGGUCUGUUGCGUCCGCUGUGAAAACCCGGGGCUUAACCCCUGGCUUGCAGUGGAUACGGACAGACUAGAGGUAGGUAGGGGAGAAUGGAAUUCCCGGUGUAGCGGUGAAAUGCGCAGAUAUCGGGAGGAACACCGGUGGCGAAGGCGGUUCUCUGGGCCUUACCUGACGCUGAGGAGCGAAAGCAUGGGGAGCGAACAGG